GGACCACUGCCUGAGAGAGUAGCAGGUGUGCUGCGGAAGCUGGAAUUGCUCUGGAGUAGCUAUACCUGUCAACAAUCCGUAGCCCAGAGGUGCACAGCUUCAACUAUGGAAUCCUUCGACGUUGCUUCAACUGGAAGCAAAUUCACAAGUUCUAUGAACUUCUGCAUGACUGUUGGAAAUCAAAAAAGAUGGAGGUCCUAGACAUUAUGCCACCAUUUCCACUAAUGGACGACGACCCUUUUAUGGAUCCUGCUCCAUCUGAGGCUGUUUUCCCUGAUGUACAGGAAGAGUCGUGAUCAAUGACGCUGUCCAGGAACUUCGCAGCCAAGAGCAGCUUCUUCCUCUAGGCAUUGUUUAAUACCUCAGCUGGCGAUCAAAGACACUUCACUGCUCCUUGUAACACAGUGUAACCCUUUUCCAUAUCCUGAAUAGAGUAC